rnacentral:lncRNA from 1 species
GAUCCUACAUUGCCGGUUUCUUGCAGGGGGAGACCGCGUUUAGAGGAUCAGUGGCGGCGGGCCCGCGCGGUGCCGGCGACUAGCAGCGAGAUGUCCUGGCCCCUUCCAGGUUUGGUAUCUCUCUGGACUCACCAGCCCCUCUAGGAAAUCUGGAGAAUGGAGAGAGCAAGGUGUAGCUGAUUAGCAAGUUAAUUAUUUCAGUACCCCAAGGGUUCAUGCGUGGUGGAGAUGGCCUUGGGAGAGCAACCUCCGGACCUCAGCAGUGUGAGGAUGACAACAGUACCCUGUGGUGCUGUCCCCACUCAGGUUGGCUGCCAUCCCUGCUGAUGGAGAGAGGCUGAAGUCUGUCUGAGAAGAUAGUGCAGGCAGCUACUUAGCUGGUACUAAUUGUAUUUGCAGAGUAGGGGGUUUCUCUCUGUAGCCCCGACUGUCCUGGAACUCACUCUGCAGACCAGGCUGUCCUCAAGCUCAGAGAUCUACCUGCCUCUGCCUCUGAAGUACUGGGAUUAAAGGUGCAGAGGCCUCCCAGAGAAGUGUGAAGGAAUGGGCCUUAACCAGGGUUGAAGAAAGAAAGUGAAGAAGGGGAGAGCCCAAGGAAAGGUGGGGACAGUUGGAACUUUUGUUUACACUGGUCUACUACUCAUGUAUCGUAUGCUAUAAUCUCCAAAUUCCACAUUUAUUGUAGCUGUCUGCAGUGUGUAUGCCCCGGCCGCAUGCUGCUUGGCUAAAAAAGUGUUAAAUAAAACUGUAAGAAACGCUAC